GGCUCGUUGGUCUAGGGGUAGUGAUUCUCGCUUCGGGUUGCGAGAGGUCCCGGGUUCAAAUCCCGGACGAGCCC
rnacentral:tRNA from 1 species